GACGAACGCUGGCGGCGUGCUUAACACAUGCAAGUCGAACGGAAAGGCCCUGCUUUUGUGGGGUGCUCGAGUGGCGAACGGGUGAGUAGCACGUGAGUAACCUGCCCUUGACUUUGGGAUAACUUCAGGAAGCUGGGGCUAAUGCCGGAUAGGAGCUCCUGCUGCAUGGUGGGGGUUGGAAAGUUUCGGCGGUUGGGGAUGGACUCGCGGCUUAUCAGCUUGUUGGUGGGGUAGUGGCUUACCAAGGCUUUGACGGGUAGCCGGCCUGAGAGGGUGACCGGCCACAUUGGGACUGAGAUACGGCCCAGACUCCUACGGGAGGCAGCAGUGGGGAAUAUUGCACAAUGGGCGGAAGCCUGAUGCAGCAACGCCGCGUGCGGGAUGACGGCCUUCGGGUUGUAAACCGCUUUCGCCUGUGACGAAGCGUGAGUGACGGUAAUGGGUAAAGAAGCACCGGCUAACUACGUG
rnacentral:rRNA from 1 species